rnacentral:sRNA from 1 species
ACUGGGCAUGGUGGCACAUGCCUGUAAUCCCAGCUACUCGGGAGGCUGAGGCAGGAGGAUCUCAAAUUCUAGGUCAACCUAGGCAACUUAAUAAGACCCUGUCUUAA